rnacentral:rRNA from 1 species
AUUGAACGCUGGCGGCAGGCUUAACACAUGCAAGUCGAGCGGAGAUGAGGUGCUUGCACCUUAUCUUAGCGGCGGACGGGUGAGUAAUGCUUAGGAAUCUGCCUAUUAGUGGGGGACAACAUUCCGAAAGGAAUACUAAUACCGCAUACGUCCUACGGGAGAAAGCAGGGGAUCUUCGGACCUUGCGCUAAUAGAUGAGCCUAAGUCGGAUUAGCUAGUUGGUGGGGUAAAGGCCUACCAAGGCGACGAUCUGUAGCGGGUCUGAGAGGAUGAUCCGCCACACUGGGACUGAGACACGGCCCAGACUCCUACGGGAGGCAGCGGUGGGGAAUAUUGGACAAUGGGGGGAACCCUGAUCCAGCCAUGCCGCGUGUGUGAAGAAGGCCUUAUGGUUGUAAAGCACUUUAAGCGAGGAGGAGGCUACUGAGACUAAUACUCUUGGAUAGUGGACGUUACUCGCAGAAUAAGCACCGGCUAACUCUGUGCCAGCCGCCGCAGUAA